rnacentral:snoRNA from 1 species
AUGCCAUGAUGUGGACAUUUUCUUAACAAUUCCUUAAAACUUGUGAAUGCCUCACGGAACGCUUCCCAUGAAUGUUGCUGGAAUGCUCUGAUUGCAUCCUGAGCUU